AGCGAACGCUGGCGGCAGGCCUAACACAUGCAAGUCGAACGAACUCUUCGGAGUUAGUGGCGGACGGGUGAGUAACACGUGGGAACGUGCCUUUUGGUUCGGAAUAACUCAGGGAAACUUGUGCUAAUACCGAAUGUGCCCUUCGGGGGAAAGAUUUAUCGCCAUUAGAGCGGCCCGCGUCUGAUUAGCUAGUUGGUGAGGUAACGGCUCACCAAGGCGACGAUCAGUAGCUGGUCUGGGAGGAUGACCAGCCACACUGGGACUGAGACACGGCCCAGACUCCUACGGGAGGCAGCAGUGGGGAAUCGUGCGCAAUGGGCGAAAGCCUGACGCAGCCAUGCCGCGUGAAUGAUGAAGGUCUUAGGAUUGUAAAAUUCUUUCACCGGGGACGAUAAUGACGGUACCCGGAGAAGAAGCCCCGGCUAACUUCGUG
rnacentral:rRNA from 1 species